UGUUCACUCCUUUCAGAGCCACUGACACGCAGCACAAUGAUGAUGUCACUGAUUCUACUGCUGGGGACACUGGGGCUCCUUGUUCAGGAAUCAUCAGCAGACAUCAUUCUGACUCAGUCUCCUAAAUCUCAGUCUGUUAGUCCAGGAGAGACUGUCUCUAUCAGCUGUACAGCCAGUUCAAGUACUAGUGAUUAUCUCCACUGGUACCUGCAGAAACCUGGAGAAGCUCCUAAACUCCUGGUUUAUUAUGCUACAAACCGUCAGUCUGGGAUUCCAGGUCGUUUCAGUGGGAGUGGAUCUGGUAGUUCUUAUACUCAUUACACUCUGACCAUCAGUGGAGUCCAGGCUGAAGAUGCAGGAGAUUACUACUGUCAGCAGGGUGUCAGCUAUCCAUUCACACAGUGUUAGAGCGUCGUACAAAAACCUCCCUCAGCUAAAGAGGAACUGUUCUGUCUCAACAGCUACAGAGUCUCCCGUAUUCUAAAAGUCAUCUAAACACCAAUUCAUAACAAUAUGACACUACAAUAAUGUAAUUGGUUAGACGUGUCUAUGGACUAUGAGACUGUACAUAUCUCUCAAUAUAUUCUGCAAAAAUGUUAAAUCUUUGUAAACACACUGGGACCACUAAGGAUACAGAGCUGUAGAAAAUGCUUUAUUUUGAAGGACAUGUUGAACAAAAUUCAGAAUAGCUUUAAUGUUUUUUCACGCUUUGAUUUAUCUUGACAUUGUAAAAAGCACUAAUUUCAUUACGCAAUAGCAUGAAUGUUGAUCCUGUCCGAACCCAACUUUUUAUGCCCUACUCAACUUCUAUACCCCUCCAACCUUGAAGGAGUGAAUACAGUCAUAUCGAUUCCAUUCAAGAAGCACUACUUUAAGAUUAUUAUACAUGUCCCAUACUGUAUAAAAAGCCAUAAAAAGACUGCGAAUUCCCCGAUUUGAACGUUAUGCAAAGUCCAGUGUAAAGUCUGCUUCCCCAGCCCAUGUUCAGUUCUUUAGUCAGACACACAGCUGCCCCAGUCCCAGAGGAUUUGAGGCUGAGUGAUUGUGGGUUGGUUGGGUUGAAACUCAGAUUUACAUGGGCAGGGUGACCACAACACUCCCAGAAUACAGCAGUACCAUGGCCAGAUGUUCACCUGUUCCCAGAGAGUUCCAUUGAGCUUGGAGCACAUGGCUUCAGUAAUGGUAACAUCCAGUCAUACAUUUAGAGAGUUAGGCCAACUUUUAGAGUUUGUAAUAUUGUUCCAAUUCUAGACAUUCAGUUACACAGCAUCGUUGUAAUGUUAAUGGGGAUCUACUAUGCCUGCCACAGAAUGUUGAAGUGUCAUGUAAAUACAUCAUAAUGCAGAAACCUCAAUGUCCUCUCUAAUACAUGGCUCUGGUAACAUCAUAAAGACUGGGGAGUCUAGAGAACAUGUCUUCAGUAUUAGUAUCACUGUAGAUAUCCUUUUGACUGGUAUUAUAUUUGGCCCAAUCAGCCAAACACUCAUUGAGAGAGGUUCAUUGAAUAACAAGUAUCAGUAAAAUUACUUUCCAGGGCAGAGAGCUCAUCAUUCUUUAUGAAAAUGCAAUAAAUCAAAAGUAUCUCAAUGUCUA